AUGGAGGUUCCGGAAGAUCGUAGAGUUCCUUUGGUCGCAUACAAACUGAAAGGAGGAGCCGGUGCAUGCUGGCAUCGCGUUCAAGAGGAGCGCAGGCUGAGAGGGGAACCUCGUGUUAGAACUUGGCGACAAAUGAAAGGCCUCUUGAAAGGGAGAUUUUUGCCCGCUGAUUAUGACCAGAUCCUAUUUAUCCAAUUUCAAAAUUGUGCUCAAGGAAAUAGGACUGUUUCAGAUUACACGGAGGAGUUUCUAAGGCUACAAGUGAGGUGCAACUUUGCUGAAACUGAAGAGCAACAAGUUGCAAGGUACAUCACUGGUCUCAAUGAUUGUAACACCCCAAAAAUUUGUCCUUGUUUUAUUAAUUAA
rnacentral:rRNA from 1 species